UACGUAGGUGACAAGCGUUGUCCGGAUUUACUGGGCGUAAAGAGCGCGCAGGCGGUCGUUCAAGUCGAGUGUGAAAGCCCCCGGCUCAACUGGGGAGGGUCAUUCGAUACUGAUCGACUCGAAGGCAGGAGAGGGUAGUGGAAUUCCCGGUGUAGCGGUGAAAUGCGUAGAUAUUGGGAGGAACACCAGUGGCGAAGGCGGCUCACUGGACCGGAACUGACGCUGAGGCGCGAAAGCGUGGGGAGCAAACAGG
rnacentral:rRNA from 1 species